UACGAAGGGUCCAAGCGUUGUUCGGAAUCAUUGGGCGUAAAGGGCGUGUAGGUGGUUCUGUAUGUCUACCGUGAAAGCGUACGGCUCAACCGUAUUUAGUCGGUAGAAACUGCAGGACUUGAGGCUGGGAGGGGCUGGUGGAAUUCCCCGUGUAGCGGUGAAAUGCGUAGAGAUGGGGGAGAACACUCGUGGCGAAGGCGGCCAGCUAGACCAGUUCUGACACUGAGGCGCGACAGCGUGGGGAGCAAACAGG
rnacentral:rRNA from 1 species